GCCAAUUUGGACUUUUCUUCUUAUGAAACCUUUAUUAACCUUUAAUAAAAAAAAAAAAAAAAAUAAUGAAAUGAUCAUAUAUGGCAAAGGGUGGCCGGCCAUGUGGUGUUUUAGAGUGGUGUGAACCCAAUUUUAUAAAGUUUAACUCCCAUUUUAAUUAAGAAGUCAAGUGGGCAAGUGGGUAGAAAAGCACUCAAGUGUUUUGUGAUAUUUUGAAGAGUUGUGUGAGCCAUUCUAACCCCCAAAUCCAACCACUCUCCCUCUCUCAUUCACUCUCAUCUGAUUUUUUAAGACCAUUCAAAGUGUUCUCUCAAUAUUCAACCUCAAGAACACCAAGGAAAACUUGGAGGCUAAGUCUUGGUCUAGGAAGUAUUUUCCCUAAGGUAAACUUUCACUAAUCUAGGUUUUUGUAAAGUUUUAAGCAUAGAGUUUCAAAUAGCUAAUUGACUAUGUUGUUGGGGGAAGUUUGUUAGGGUUUUUGAAAGGUUUUGAAGGAGUCAAAGCUUAUAGGAAGGUCCAAACCUUAAGCAAGAACACCAAAGAGGUAAGUGCAAGGGCAAGGCAGAGCAGUGAGCGCUGGAGUCUUCCUUGCAAAUGUACAUGUGGACCGACCUUUUGGGAAGCCUUUUUAUUUUUGGAAAUGUUGUGUAAUUUUCCUAAACUAGGCUCACUCUAAUCUUUAUAAAACAUGUUUGUAAUUAAAUGUUAAGUAUGGCCAUACGACUUUUUAAAAAGUUUUUUUUUCUA